CCUACGGGUGGCAGCAGUGAGGAAUAUUGGUCAAUGGACGAGAGUCUGAACCAGCCAAGUAGCGUGAAGGAUGACUGCCCUAUGGGUUGUAAACUUCUUUUAUAGGGGAAUAAAACAGGGUAUGCAUACCCUCUUGUAUGUACCAUAUGAAUAAGGAUCGGCUAACUCCGUGCCAGCAGCCGCGGUAAUACGGAGGAGCCGAGGGUUAUCCGGAUUUAUUGGGUUUAAAAGGCGCGUAGGUGGAUUGUUAAGUCAGUUGUGAAAGUUUGCGGCUCAACCGUAGAAUUGCAGUUGAAACUGGCAGUCUUGAGUGCACUAGAGGUGUGCGGAAUGCGUGGUGUAGCGGUGAAAUGCUUAGAUAUCACGCAGAACUCCGAUUGCGAAGGCAGCUCACUGGACUGCAACUGACACUGAUGCACGAAAGUGUGGGUAUCAAACAGGAUUAGAUACCCCUGUAGUC
rnacentral:rRNA from 1 species